UUUUCCCUAGGUUCUUGGUUUGAGUUACACAUUAUAGAAGGGAACAGUCAAGCCGACUUUGUUUAUAAUGGAUUCGGAAUAGUACAUGUAACUCUUAUCUCCGAUCUCUUAGCUAUGUGACCGUGAGUUGACUCCACUGUUUUUGUGUAAUAGCACAAUCAUUUUUACAUAAACUAUAGGGAACACUGUUCUUAUUCAAUUCUGUGUAAUGAGAUGUUUAGUUAUGUUUUGCAAAAAAAAUAAAAGGAGAAACUUUUGUGGCUAUGGUUAUUUUGAUUUUUUAUAUCUAAUAAGUCAUUAGCAUUUAUACCUUAAGCAUAUUACUCUUUGAUAAGACGAAUAGAUGUCUGAAGUGGGAUCCUGGUUCUUGCUUUAGAUAACCCAUAUUGAGUACAUGAUAUAUGCUUGUGCUUAAAAUACAUCAACAAUGUUCAAUCUUUUUUCAUUUCCUUUUUCAGAUGCUUCACAGACAUGAUAAAUGAAACUCUGCAGGUUUUUCCACAAAUUGAAAUAAAAAAAGUCCCCCCCACUCUUCAUCAGAACUUUUUACCCUGUGAAUUAUCAUAGUUGACCAUUUAGAAAUUCUUGAUGCUAAUCCAUGACAUCCAUAGUAAUCAACAAUAUAUGGACUGCAGUAUGGCAAACUUUCCCUAGACUGUUCCCUAUUCUCCUCCUGGAAGUGAAAAGCAUUUGCUUUUCUUUCAGCCAUUAUCAUUGGCACUGAGGACUCCAUCCAUCUUUUCUUGUCAGCCAUUAUCCAAAGCAUAGAGACAUAUCUCACUCAUGCACACACCUUCAAUAGAAGCCAUACGCAAAUCUGCAAAAUGCAUAUUUUUCCACUGAGAGUGCCUUGUAAAGAAGUCCUUUUGGUGUUAGUUGAACCACGUAAAAGUAUCAUUCCGUGUGUCUUUAUCGAGUACUAGGAUGACUUAUGCCAUCAUGCAGUGCAUAUCUGAUUUACCGAUGAUGCCACUAAUAGCAUGUCUGCAGUGUUUUAGAUAGCAUGUAUCGAAAGUGCAGUGGUGAAGUUUUUUUACUGACGGUAGCAGAUAGCAGCAAUAUACCUAGCAGAACAUGGCCAUUAAUAUUUCAAAAUUACAUAUAUCAACUAAUUAAUAAAUCAGUUUAAGUAAAAUAAUCAAUUUUCUUGUGGUUGCAUAUUUUUGUGCAUUGCAUUCAUAGUUUGUUGACUGUUAUUGUAUAGUGCAUGGACAGUGAAUUCAAAAUGGAAUGCAGCUAACAUGUAACGUAUGAUCACAUCAAGGCGUAGCCAAGUUCCAAUGCAAACUUUAUGCUUUAGGUAAGCUGCAGGUCGAUGCAGCAGUCACCUCCUCUCUGUUAUAGCUGUAUAUUGGAAACAGUCUAUCUAUCUUGGAGUUUUGAUUAUUUGCUUUUAGAAGCAUGUUUCCUUUUCUUGGUUCAGUAUUGCUAUUACAUCAUCAUCAGAAAUAAACAUGAUUUAUCAUACUACGAAUGCCAUCUAUGUUAUAUUUCUGGCAUCCUCGUUGAUUGAUAAGUGAGUGAGAUUAAUGAUAUAUCCUUUUAAGCUCCUGGCCAUCAUUCUAUCACUCAUUACUGUAUUUUGUAUAUCAUUUAUGCCUGAUGGAGAAGAAAGCUGUGAGAUGACAGGUUUCUAGACAGUAGGGACCCAAUGAGUUUUUUAUUCUCAUGGCCUAACUUCGCCAUUGCCAUAGAAUUAAUUGUUUUGAUCUUGAAAGGUUCCCUAAGCACAAAGUUAAAUACCAUUUCCUGUGUGAGGGUCAUGAGGCUGACCCGGAUCGAGGGGAGAAAAGGCAUGUAAGAAGCUCUGAGGUGGAAGCCACCAACCUGUAUUGCUGUCCACUUUUUGGCGGGGCGGCCUCUCACCAACUUGUUAUCUUGGCAUCUAUCCUGCUUUUGGAAGGCUCCCUAUACACUGGACACUGCUCUAUUCUACUAAUGGAGAGCCCAAUCGUUCUUCCCAUUUUCUCAUCCUGCUGCCAUUGUUCUGUUUGAGCGUUUGUCUUUUGUGCUACUUUCAUCUGUCUCUGUCACUUGCUGUAGUCUCUGACCAAGUAACUGGCACCAAGAGCUCAUCUUCCUCGCUUCUCUGGAUGUGGCAGAAUGUACUAACUUUAGGACUGAUCAGUCAUCAUGGGUGUGAUGAUAAUUUCAGGUUUUAUUUUCAUUUUUUCAUGUUAACGUUCAUCAAAUGCAUUACCUAAGUCAAGUCGUUUUCUCAGGUAUGUGCAUCUGGAAUCCUUUGGACUCUCCAUUCUUUUGAGAACAUGCCAUGUACGUAUUUUAUUGAGAAUGAGAGAGUUUACAACACACCGCACCACAGACAGACACAAUGUGAAUCUACGAACACUAAGGAGAUAUGUGCAUCUGGAAUCCUUUGGACCCUCCAUCUUGUUAUGAAGAAAAAAAAUAAUCUUCCGAAGCUUUAUUUUUAUUGAGGAUUCAUAUUGUGCAUAUGUGCAAAAAAAUAAGUUGUCUAUCAUCUUGACCAUCAACAGUCUGAAGAUAGCAAUUCUGGUCUUAUGAUGAUGGUGACCACCACAAGGUGAUGGACCAAGCAGUUCGUUCCAGAAACUCUAUUUGACAAGAAAUGUGAUCCCGGUGACGACAGCAGAUGUUGACUGCGACGCAGCCGGAGCCGAAACCACCACCCGUUUCGCAUGAUUUGGUAUCACCACAUAGCACACACACUACACUAGGUGGAGCCUAGGGAGGGAGCCAAAGGUAAUGGAGCUAUCAAAAGCAGCAUGCACUGGGCAAUCCAUGGACAGAAAACUAAGGUUGCUUUGGCCUGGUGUGCUGUGAGGUUAGCACACGGUGAGCUCAUGGCAACACUUGUCCUGCCAUUGGGAGUAGUGGAGGUACGGUAGGAACGAUAUCCUUGUGGGCAUGGCUCAUGCUGGAGUUGUUUAUGGUGAACAGUGGAUUCUAGUCACGGAAGUCAGCCAUAACCUACCAAAUGUUAGGGCCUGACCUUGACAUGAAAUGUUUUUGUACCUUAACGAUAACACAAGUAAUGACAAACUAUAGCUGAGAUGUUUCUUCCCGCUUGUCUGGCCCUCGAGUCCAAAAGUAGCAUUGUUGCAUCGACAGGGUUGCAAUGUUUGUGCCUAGUGAUGUCAUUGUGUAGGUUCCAAGUGACGCAUUUUGCUGCUGUUUUGUUAAACUACACCUACAGGCAGCGUCAGAAAGCUAGCUAUGCGUGCUGUCAUGUGUAUUUGAAUCGAGAUUAUCCGGCGUCAUGAGCUGUUGGAUUAAUUCGGUUGUAUUUGUUU